rnacentral:rRNA from 1 species
UUAAAAAGCUCGUAGUUGGAUUUCUGGCGGGGACCCAAGUACCCCUGGUGGGUGUGCUCGGGCCCGGCCAUCCUUCUGUCAACUUUCGCGCGUCCUUCACCGGUCGGCAAAGGGAUCAGAUAAUUUACCUUGAGAAAAUUAGAGUGUUUCAGGCAGGCUUUCGCCGGAAUACAUUAGCAUGGAAUAAUGGAAUAGGACUGAGGUCUCGUUGUUGGUUACGCGGACUCCAGUAAUGAUUAAUAGGGACAGUUGGGGGCAUUAGUAUUUAUUAGCUAGAGGUGGAAUUCUCUAAUUUGAUAAAGACUAACUUAUGCGAAAGCAUUUGCCAAGGAUGUUUUCAUUAAUCAAGAACGAAAGUUAGGGGAUCAAAGACGAUCAGAUACCGUC